GAUGAACGCUGGCGGCGUGCUUAACACAUGCAAGUCGAACGGAAAGGCUCCUGCUUGCAGGGGUACUCGAGUGGCGAACGGGUGAGUAACACGUGGGUGAUCUGCCCUGCACUUCGGGAUAAGCCUGGGAAACUGGGUCUAAUACCGGAUAGGACCACAUUUUGGAUGGUGUGGUGGAAAGUUUUUCGGUGUGGGAUGAGCUCGCGGCCUAUCAGCUUGUUGGUGGGGUAAUGGCCUACCAAGGCGUCGACGGGUAGCCGGCCUGAGAGGGUGUACGGCCACAUUGGGACGGAGAUACGGCCCAGACUCCUACGGGAGGCAGCAGUGGGGAAUAUUGCACAAUGGGCGCAAGCCUGAUGCAGCGACGCCGCGUGGGGGAUGACGGCCUUCGGGUUGUAAACUCCUGUCGCUAGGGACGAAGCGUUUUUGUGACGGUACCUGGAGAAGAAGCACCGGCUAACUACGUG
rnacentral:rRNA from 1 species